ACAGGUUGAGAGUUGUAAACUGCAGCCUCACAAUGCAGCGGGCCGAUGCGAUGGACCAGAACACAGAGCGGGCACGUGGUGGCGCAUGGAGUCGUGUGAUUCGCUGGGAGCCGCAAAGGAAGCUACUUUCCACCACAACCUUUGACCCCCGACCUCCGACCCCGCCCUCCUCUGUCGAUGGACUACCUUGGUCGUCAUACUACAUGUGACCGCGAAGAGGAGCUGCUCCACACGUGGACGCUUGAGGAACCCGGCGGCCGAAUCCCAGACGCGCUGUUGGGCCCGAUCCACGCCGCCUGCUGCUAGACGAUAGCGAGGGACCCGCCAGAGACCCGCUUUGUACCUUUCAGGAGGCCCGAGUAAGGAAGAGCCGCACAAUGAAACCGCUCGAGUCCGUGGCAGCGUGGCAGCGUGGCAGCGUGGCA